rnacentral:rRNA from 1 species
CUGGCAGCUUGCUGCCGGGGUGAGAGUGGCGAACGGGUGAGUAAUGCGUGACCGACCUGCCCCAUGCACCGGAAUAGCUCCUGGAAACGGGUGGUAAUGCCGGAUGUUCCACAUGAGCGCAUGCGAGUGUGGGAAAGGCUUUUUGCGGCAUGGGAUGGGGUCGCGUCCUAUCAGCUUGUUGGUGGGGUAACGGCCUACCAAGGCGUUGACGGGUAGCCGGCCUGAGAGGGCGACCGGCCACAUUGGGACUGAGAUACGGCCCAGACUCCUACGGGAGGCAGCAGUGGGGAAUAUUGCACAAUGGGCGCAAGCCUGAUGCAGCGACGCCGCGUGCGGGAUGGAGGCCUUCGGGUUGUAAACCGCUUUUGUUCAAGGGCAAGGCACGGUCUUUGGCCGUGUUGAGUGGAUUGUUCGAAUAAGCACCGGCUAACUACGUGCCAGCAGCCGCGGUAAUACGUAGGGUGCAAGCGUUAUCCGGAUUUAUUGGGCGUAAAGGGCUCGUAGGCGGUUCGUCGCGUCCGGUGUGAAAGUCCAUCGCUUAACGGUGGAUCCGCGCCGGGUACGGGCGGGCUUGAGUGCGGUAGGGGAGACUGGAAUUCCCGGUGUAACGGUGGAAUGUGUAGAUAUCGGGAAGAACACCAAUGGCGAAGGCAGGUCUCUGGGCCGUUACUGACGCUGAGGAGCGAAAGCGUGGGGAGCGAACAGGAUUAGAUACCCUGGUAGUCCACGCCG